rnacentral:rRNA from 1 species
UCCAGACUCCUACGGGAGGCAGCAGUGGGGAAUAUUGCACAAUGGGGGAAACCCUGAUGCAGCAACGCCGCGUGAGUGAAGAAGUAUUUCGGUAUGUAAAGCUCUAUCAGCAGGGAAGAAAAUGACGGUACCUGAGUAAGAAGCCCCGGCUAACUACGUGCCAGCAGCCGCGGUAAUACGUAGGGGGCAAGCGUUAUCCGGAUUUACUGGGUGUAAAGGGAGCGUAGACGGCGAUGCAAGUCUGAAGUGAAAGCCCGGGGCUCAACCCCGGGACUGCUUUGGAAACUGUAUGGCUGGAGUACUGGAGAGGCAAGCGGAAUUCCUAGUGUAGCGGUGAAAUGCGUAGAUAUUAGGAAGAACACCAGUGGCGAAGGCGGCUUGCUGGGCAGUAACUGACGUUGAGGCUCGAAAGCGUGGGGAGCAAACAGGAUUAGAUACCCCUGUAC